GACGAACCGUCCCAAACGUUAUUCGGAAUCACUGGGCUUAAAGGGCGCGUAGGCGGCCGAGCGGGUCACGGGUGAAAUCCUCCAGCUUAACUGGAGAACUGCCCUUGAUACCACUUCGGCUCGAGGAAGGAAGGGGCAAUCGGAACUGUCGGUGGAGCGGUGAAAUGCGUUGAUAUCGACAGGAACGCCGGUGGCGAAAGCGGAUUGCUGGUCCUUUUCUGACGCUGAGGCGCGAAAGCCAGGGGAGCAAACGGGAUUAGAAACCCGUGUC
rnacentral:rRNA from 1 species